GACGAACGCUGGCGGCGUGCUUAAUACAUGCAAGUCGAACGGAAUGGCCCUGCUUUCUUUGUGUGCUAGAGUGGCGCACGGGUGUGUAACGCGUGCGUACCCUCUGUUUGACUUUGGUAUAACUUGAGGAAACGGGGGCUAAUACCGUAAACGUUUUCCUGCCGCAUGGUGGGGGUUGGAAAGUUUGGGCGGUUGGGGUUGGAGUCGGGGCUUAUCCGCUUGUUGGUGGGGGAGUGGCUUCCCAAGGCCUUGGCGGGUAUCCGGCCUUGGAAGGUGACCGGCGCCAUGGGGACUGCGAUACGGCCCAGAAGCCUACGGGAGGCAGCAGUCGGGAAUAUUGCACAAUGGGCGGGAGCCUGAUGCGGCAACGCUCCGUGCGGAAUGACGGCUUUCGGGUUAAAAACCGCUUUCGCAUGAAACGAAGCGUGAGUGACGGUAAUGAGUAAGGAAGCACCGGCUAACUACGUG
rnacentral:rRNA from 1 species